UCUCGGGGCAGGGUGCGAUUCCCUACCGGCGGUGAUUCGGCGUCCGCGCCGAAAAGCCCGCGAGCCUGAACGCGUUCCCGCGCGCGAAGGCAAGAUUCGGUGAGAUUCCGAAGCCGACGGUAAAGUCCGGAUGGAAGAGAU
rnacentral:ncRNA from 1 species